rnacentral:rRNA from 1 species
UGGGGAAUAUUGCACAAUGGGCGAAAGCCUGAUGCAGCGACGCCGCGUGAGGGAUGAAGGCCUUCGGGUUGUAAACUUCUUUCAGCAGGGAAGAAGCGCAAGUGACGGUACCUGCAGAAGAAGCGCCGGCUAACUACGUGCCCGCAGACGCGGUAAUACGUAGGGCGCAAGCGUUGUCCGGAAUUAUUGGGCGUAAAGAGCUCGUAGGCGGUUUGUCGCGUCUGGUGUGAAAACGCGAGGCUCAACCUCGAGCUUGCAUCGGGUACGGGCAGACUAGAGUGCGGUAGGGGAGACUGGCAUUCCUGGUGUAGCGGUGGAAUGCGCAGAUAUCAGGAGGAACACCGAUGGCGAAGGCAGGUCUCUGGGCCGCAACUGACGCUGAGGAGCGAAAGCAUGGGGAGCGAACA